AAGGGACUUCAAAACGCAUCUCCUACACGUGACAAACACAUGUAUACGACUUGCCUUAAAGUGGGGGCAUUUGUAGACAUUGAAAUUUCGGUAAAUAAAUGUUGACCGAUAAAUCAAAGUGUCAACGCUCAUGUAUUACAUAAAAUUUUACACGUAGCGUGUGACUCAACGAAAAUUGAAAUGAGUUGGAAAAGUCAUCAAAUAGGACACGUGUCAACACCUGGCAUAAAUGACUUAGUUCAUCUGGGAUAUUAUAUUCAAAAUUAGGCCUUGGAAAUUUCUAUAAAUACAAGCCUAUUUCAUUCAUUUAAAGGGACCAAUUCAUAUUACACCUUGAAGCUCUGAAGCUCUGAAACUCCGAAGCUCUCAAGCAUCCAGGUUCCUGAAGAAUCAAGAAAGCCUUCUUCAUUCUUCGUUCAUCGUUCUUUCAAGAUCAAGCCCCGAUGACCCUUGAAGAAAGCAUCAUCGUUCAUCAUCCGUUCAUCCAAGAUCAAGCCCCAACGGUCCUUUGGAUCAACAACGUCGACAAAUCCACACAUAUCCAACCGUUCUUCAAGAUUAAGCCCAAAAGUCCUUGAAGAUCUGUUCAUCACUGUUUCUUCAAGAUCAAGCCCAAAAGCCCUUGAAGAUCC
rnacentral:lncRNA from 1 species